UGUCCAGCAACUCCUAUCCCUACCUCCACGCGGUACCGGCCGGAAACUAUGACCAACCUUAGGGAAGAUCGGGUAACCAACCCCGGUGGGAACUUUGGUCGUAGGCUGACAGGGAAGG
rnacentral:ribozyme from 1 species